AUCCAGCUGACGUGUGUCAAAUGGAACGAAACGCGAGUCCUGGAU
rfam:Schistosoma mansoni strain Puerto Rico chromosome 6, complete genome